AACAUUGCCACUUUAAAAAUUCUUUUGUCAUUUACAGAAGUUGUUUUACUUUAGCAAAAGUGCUUUAACUUCAAGGAGAUUCACAGAAAGGACUCUGAGAAGUACAUGUUUCUGAAAACUUUGAAAUCAUACCAUUGGGCUGGGUCAUCUCCUUGGAGUCUGGUCAAGGAGCUGCCAUACUUUAUCCCACACCUCAGCAGUACCUUGCGCUCCGACCAGCAGUGGGAGCCAAGGUCGGCUGGGCACAGGAGCUGACUGGGGAGAGAGCAGACAUGACUACACAGAGGCCAAGAGAGCAAGGCAGAUCCAACUAAUGGAGUUCAGCCCAGCCAGUGCUAUGGCAACUUUGUAGAGGAUACCAAAUGCCUGACUGGGAUAUCCUUCCCAGGAGAAAUGAAGGACAGAUGCUACCCCAGUCCACAGACUACACUUUGUCGAGACCAUCUGAACUAAGGAUUAGGAUCUAAUACCAGACAUGGCUUGCUUCUUGGAAACUGCAGAGAGCUCUAUCUUCCACAGCUAACUAAAUUCCCUGCCACAUACCUCAUUGUCACAUUCAGCCAGAACCUGGUCAUAUUCACUCAGAGCAACCAAGAAAAUAAUGGAGGUAACACUCUCAAAGCAGUGAAUCCAUUUCCGUCUUUCAGAUCGCUGGCCACCAACAUCCACCAUCCUGUUCAAUAGAAACACAGAUCUACGACACAGGCUCCAUUUAUUUCCUCUUGCUGCUGGCUCUUCGACUGAACCUAAAUGUUCUUGGGAGACAAACACCCACCUAUACCAGCUCCGAAGGCUAUGACCAACUGAAGGGAAGGGAACAGGUCUUGGGAAGGAUUAUGGCUCUCAAAGAAGAAAGGAUUACAUGAGGAAAGGUGCAAGGCACUGAGAGCUGCAGAAACAAGAAUCAUCACCUCUUCAAGAAGUACCAUGAUUAAAUUAUUUGCUCAGGGACCUGACAGGAAACCAGAGGAGGAAAAUAGACACCAGACAUGGAUUUAAAUCAGAUCAUUUCAGCACUCCAAAUAAGAUGAGUGCCACCAAGUGAACCCCUGCAUUUGAUUGAGCCUCUCAUUCAAAAGGCCAGAGAUUCAGAACAUGGAAAGGUUGAUCUGAGCAAGGCAAUCGGAGAUGCACAGGGCACGAGAAUAAUGACUGAGGAAUCUGAAGCAUGUCUGCAUGGAUCAGAAAGACUUCCCCACACUUCUUCCUCUUCUCUGACAUCCUCUCAGGACCAGGUGGCCUCUCUUCACCCUCAAAAUUUUAAGCAUCUGUUUCCAGGUCCUGCCACUGAAUGAAGACUACAGGUGAAAGAUAUUCGUGCCUGUGCACAAUAGUCGGCACCCCCAGAUGGGAGCACCAGUUACCGGCCACAUUGACUUUAAAUUUGAGGACCACUUGAAUGCAGGCUCCCAAGUAAGCUAGACGCCAGACCACGUCAUUUAUGCUUCUUAGGACAUGGACUUACACCUGCGGAUGCCGAGUUUACGAAGUGCUUGCAUCACCAUUGCCAAAGCAGACAUGCUCCCGCCAGAGGAGUACUAAGAGUCUAAAACUACAGAGCAAGCAUGGGUCUCCCUGGUGGCCUAGUGGGUUAAGGCUCUAGAGCUACAGCGCUAUCGCGGCUACAGCCUGAGUUCGAUGCCCAGCCCAGGGAGCUAACCCACAUAGGGUGCAGAGGGCCUCUCCUCCUGCCCACUGCUCCCCUUAGUGGUGUGAUUCAGUAAUGUCUCCCCCUUCCUCCCUGUGUUUCCCCUUUCCCUGCGCUGACCCGCCCCCCUUCCCUCACCACCCCCCC